rnacentral:rRNA from 1 species
GACGAACGCUGGCGGCGUGCUUAACACAUGCAAGUCGAACGAAAAGGCCCUGAUCUUGUUGGGUGCUCGAGUGCCGAACGGGUGAGUGACACGUGAGUAACCUGCCCUUGACUUUGUGGUAACUUCACGGGACUGGGGCUAAUACCGGGUAUGAUCUCCUGCUGCAUAGUGGGGGUUGGAAAGUUUCGGCGGUUGUGGAUGGAUUGGCGGCUUAUGAGCUGGUUUGGCUGGUAGGUGCUUACCAAGGCUUUGAAGGCUAGGCUGCCUGGGAGCGUUAACAGCCACAUUGGGACUGCGAUACGGACCAGAAUGCUACGUGAGGCAGAAGUGGGGAAUAUUGCACAAUGGCCGGAAGUCUGAUGCAGCAACGCCGCGUGCGUGAUGCCGGCUUUCGGGUUGUAAACAGAUUUCGCCUGUGACGAAGAGUGAUUGACGGUAAUGGGUAAAGAAGCCCCGGCUAACUACGUG